UUGCACAACAACAGACAGGAUAUCCA
rnacentral:piRNA from 1 species